rnacentral:lncRNA from 1 species
GUCAAAAACUGAGGAGGCCUUUCCUGGGGGGCCGCUGGGAGCCUUGAGAGCCAUGUGCAAGAGGACAGAUCCUGUUCCUGUCACCAUUGCUCUCGAUUCACUCAGCUGGCUGCUACUUCGCCUUCCUUGCACCACACUCUGCCAGGCCCUGCAUGCUGUGAGCCAUCAGGACUCUUGUCCUGGUGACAGCUCCUCAGUGGGGAAAGUGAGUGUGCUGGGCUUGCUACAUGAAGAGCUUCAUGGACCAGGCCCUGUAGGAGCUCUCAGCAGCCUUGCUCAGACUGAGGUGACCCUGGGCGGUACCACGGGCCAGGCCUCGGCCCACAUCCUGUGUCGGAGGCCCCGACAGCGCCCAACUGACCAGGACUCAGUGGUUCUCCAUCCUUCCGGACUUCAGCCUGGAUCUCCAAGAGGGGCUCUCUGUAGAGUCCCAGCCCUACUCCGAUCCUCAUAUACCCCCGGUGGAUCCCACAACUCAUUUGACCUUUAACCUUCACCUGUCCAAGAAAGAGAGAGAAGCCAGAGAUAGCCUGAUCCUGCCCUUCCAGUUCAGUUCUGAAAAGUAAGGUUGGGACCUGGGUACGUGGAUCCCUGAGUAGAGCCCAGCAUCUGGGCCGUGGAGAGGUGGGGCAACAGGUUAUUGAUUAACCUGACUUUAUAGGGACUGAAGUCCACCUCCAGAGACAAGUCCAAGUUCUUGAUCCACCCAUUCCCCCUAUAAUGGCAGAGGACCUUUAUGUCUCUUUUCUCUCCCUUAGACCCUUGGGUCACAGCUCCAGUUGUCCCCAGAGCACCCUGGGCCUGGGCUGAGCCAGACCAGACCCUUGGGAGGUGGCGCUAUCCCUAGGCAGUGGUGCUAGGAGGACAGAAGGCUAUAUGGGCGUGGCAAAGGCUGGUUAACAAGGGCUUAGUACAUGCCUGCUGUUCUGUGCCCAGUAUGUGGGCGGAUGAAGCAAGACUACAAGAUCCUUGCCCUCAAGCUGCUAGGAACUUCCGG